rnacentral:rRNA from 1 species
CCUACGGGAGACAGCAGUGAGGAAUAUUGGUCAAUGGGCGUAAGCCUGAACCAGCCAAGUCGCGUGAGGGAUGAAGGUUCUAUGGAUCGUAAACCUCUUUUAUAAGGGAAUAAAGUGCGGGACGUGUCCCGUUUUGUAUGUACCUUAUGAAUAAGGAUCGGCUAACUCCGUGCCAGCAGCCGCGGUAAUACGGAGGAUCCGAGCGUUAUCCGGAUUUAUUGGGUUUAAAGGGUGCGUAGGCGGCCCUUUAAGUCAGCGGUGAAAGUCUGUGGCUCAACCAUAGAAUUGCCGUUGAAACUGGGAGGCUUGAGUAUGUUUGAGGCAGGCGGAAUGCGUGGUGUAGCGGUGAAAUGCUUAGAUAUCACGCAGAACCCCGAUUGCGAAGGCAGCCUACCAAGCCAUGACUGACGCUGAUGCACGAAAGCGUGGGGAUCAAACAGGAUUAGAUACCCGAGUAGUC